GCUAGAAAGCCACUCAGGAACUGGAGACCAGUGAGAGGGACAUACACAACCAACAGUCAAAAUCACAUCUCCAAAGAAGAACGUCAGAGCAAAAUCGUUAAAUAAUUAAAAGUUAUUAACCAAAACAACACAAUCUCAGUUUUGUUUAAAAACCACAGGAUGCCAAGAUGAGAAGGAAAUAAAAGUCUUUACAGUCACUCUCAGGGGUAGAAUUAGAAUGCCUUUUUAUUUUCUUUGUUGUAUUUCUACGGUUUUCGAGUUCUCUAAAGCUGUUUAUGCUUGGUUCAGUUAUAACAUGCUAGACUGGGGCACAGGGGGUUCGUCUGCCCAGCCCUCAGUCUGGCUUUUGCCAUUUACAAAUGACCAGGGCAGGGCCGUGAGUUAGAAGAAG